rnacentral:rRNA from 1 species
CUACGGGUUGCUGCAGUGGGGAAUAUUGCACAAUGGACGAAAGUCUGAUGCAGCAACGCCGCGUGGAGGAUGACACAUUUCGGUGCGUAAACUCCUUUUAUAUAGGAAGAUAAUGACGGUACUAUAUGAAUAAGCGCCGGCUAACUCCGUGCCAGCAGCCGCGGUAAUACGGAGGGCGCAAGCGUUACUCGGAAUCACUGGGCGUAAAGAGCGUGUAGGCGGAUAGAUAAGUCAGGAGUGAAAUCCUAUGGCUCAACCAUAGAACUGCUCUUGAAACUGUCUAUCUAGAAUAUGGGAGAGGUAGAUGGAAUUUCUGGUGUAGGGGUAAAAUCCGUAGAGAUCAGAAGGAAUACCGAUUGCGAAGGCGAUCUACUGGAACAUUAUUGACGCUGAGACGCGAAAGCGUGGGGAGCAAACAGGAUUAGAUACCCUUGUAGUC